rnacentral:rRNA from 1 species
UACGUAGGGUGCAAGCGUUAAUCGGAAUUACUGGGCGUAAAGCGCGCGUAGGUGGUUUGUUAAGUUGGAUGUGAAAUCCCCGGGCUCAACCUGGGAACUGCAUCCGAGACUGCAUUGCUAGAGUAUGGGAGAGGGAAGCGGAAUUUCUGGUGUAGCAGUGAAAUGCGUAGAUAUCAGAAGGAACAUCAGUGGCGAAGGCGGCUUCCUGGACCAAUACUGACGAUCAGGUGCGAAAGCGUGGGGAGCAAACAGG